GGUCGUUUUACUGACCAAUAUUUCCUCUACUAUCCCAUAUUCCAUUUUCUACAAUUUAGAUAUCCCCAGAUUUUGAACGCAGGUGCUUCUUCCCUCUUCAUUGUAGUAGCUUCUCCACCACAGAUCUGAGACCAAAUUUUGUCUCCACAAAUUGACAGAUCGAGACUAAUAUUUCGGCGUCUACAACAUCCGACUCCCAUAGGCCUUUCCUCCCCAAAGUUUUUGAGCAGAGAUUGACACGAAGAUAUCGACGUCUACAACAUCUGACUCCCAUAGGUCAUUUUUCAAAGUGUAUCGAAGUUGGGAAAAAGAGGGACAUAUACAUAUUUAGUCGUCACUUCUUACAUUUAUAAUAUCAAAAGUUCGGGUCGUCACACCUGAGGGCUGUGAUUAAGCUUCAUCGUACCUUUUGGAUUGUUCCUGAAGCCGUGGAUGACGAUUGUGAGGAUCACAAGUGGAAAUGGUUCGAGGGGUGCCUAGGAGCUCUCGACGGCACAUACAUCAACGUGCAAGUACCAAGUGUUGACAAGCCUCGCUACCGCUCUCGAAAGGGGAAGAUUUUCACUAAUACCCUAGCCGCUUGUGAUCGCAGUAUGCGGUUCGUUUACAUUCUGGCCAGAUGGGAAGGCUCUGCCGGGGAUGCUCGUGUGCUAAGGGAUGUCGUUAUUCACGAAAAUGGCUUCAAAGUACCAAGAGGAAAUUACUAUCUUUGUGAUAAUGGAUAUAUGAAUUGCAAAGGAUUCCUAACACCAUUUAAAAGUGUCUGAUAUCAUCUCAAAGAAUGGGGCCCAGCUGCCGAGGCCCCUCAGAAUCCACAUGAAAUCUUCAAUAUGAGACACACACGGGCUCGCAAUGUCAUUGAACGUGCAUUUGUCGUUUUGAAAAUGCGAUGGGGGAUAUUAAGGAGUGCUUGUUACUACCCGGUGAAAAUUCAAACGCAACUCAUUUUAACCUGUUUUCUUCUACAUAACUAUGCUAGAACAACAAUGCCAGUGGAUCCACUCGACCAACUCUCCGACGUAUAUGAUGAACAAAUAGUCGCUGCAUCUGAUGACCCCAAUGUCCAAAGAGAGUAUAUCGAUUCUGUGGAGCCAUCUAAUGCUUGGACACAAAUGCGAGAUGACUUAGCGGGAUCCAUGUGGGAGGAGGUACUUACAAUUUAUUUUCAAAACGUUUUCCAAGUUUGAUUUUUUUUCAACAACGUGCUAACCUCUCGUACGUAUUAACAACUUAUGCAAUAUGUGAAUCGCCAUAUAUAAAGACCACAAAUCACCGUUUCUGAAACCAUAUCUUUAGCUGAGGACAAGGGACCACGAGCUGCGACCGAUUGCACCUAUUGCGUAGCAAUAUAUGAUCCAUGUUGUUCGAGAACUAAAACAUAAUAGAGUUGUAGUUGAACUAAUUGGUGUCGUAUUACUUGUUGAACUUAAUUAUGAAUGUAUUUCAAUGUUUUUAUCUUUCCCUCA